ensembl:lncRNA
GUAUUCAGGGAACCGCUGGGUGACCAUUUGUCCAACAGUGUGGCAGGCUCGCCUUCAUUGCCACCACGUGGUCCAAUUCAGACUUCUCUGUCUACGCCUUAACUGUUUAUGGCCACCCUGAGCCCUGACCAAUGCAAAGCAAAGUGGAGAGGAGCAGAGAAAGUGACUUGGAUUCCCCUUCUGAGCAUCCCUGAAUCCGAUUAGGGUCCUUCCAAUGUAAAACCCAGGCUUCCCAGAUAGCUCAGUGGUAAAGAAUCCAUCUGCGAUGCAGGAGACCCAGGUUUGAUCCCUGGGUUGGAAAGAUCUCCUGGAGAAGGAAACGGCAACCCACUCUAGUAUUCUUGCCUGGAGAAUUUCAAGGACAGAGGAGCCUGGCGGGCCACAGUCCAUGGGGUCACACAGAGUCAGAAAUGACUGAAGUGAUUCAACACACACAGCAAUGGCUGCUGGAACAAAAUGCUGCGGACCGGGUGGCUUAAAACAACAGAAAUGUAUUGGUUCACAGUCCCAAGACUGGAAGUUCAAAAGCAAGGUGUCAGCAGGGUGUUUUUCCAGCUGUUGCCAGUGUGCUGGGACUUGGAGCGAAUGCAGUUUUGGUGUGUCCAUGGGAGGAGACAAGCUCAGGAUGCUCUACUCUGCCAUCUUGAUCUGGAACUUAUUUUGUUUCUUAAGCACCGUAAGCCUGUGACCUUCUCAAAACCUCUGUACAUACCUGAUGCUUAGAACGUCUCUCCAAGGUCUCCACUCUUUCUCGUCAUUCAGAUCUGAGUUCAAAUGCCACUCGCCUCCCUAGAGAGUCCCUCCCUGACCUCCUUAUCCCUGUCACCAACCCCAGUCACAUUUUAUCCCAUCAUCCAAUUGUCAUUUCUUCACAGAGAUUAUCUGGUUUUAUCUUGAUAGUUUAUGGG